rnacentral:sRNA from 1 species
UGAAGGUCCAGACGGAAAAAUUCAUGUAUUUUUCUCGCGAUGGAAAAAAUCAAAAUCAAUGAGCGGCUGGAUAAACG